GCCAGCAUGCCCUUCGGGGUGAUGGGGACUCACAGGAGACCGCCGGGGUCAACUCGGAGGAAGGUGGGGACGACUUCAAGUCAUCAUGCCCCUUAUGUCUUGGGCUGCACACGUGCUACAAUGGCCGGUACAAAGAGCUGCGAUGCCGUGAGGCGGAGCGAAUCUCAAAAAGCCGGUCUCAGUUCGGAUUGGGGUCUGCAACUCGACCCCAUGAAGUCGGAGUUGCUAGUAAUCGCAGAUCAGCAUUGCUGCGGUGAAUACGUUCCCGGGCCUUGUACACACCGCCCGUCACGUCACGAAAGUCGGUAACACCCGAAGCCGGUGGCCCAACCCCUUGUGGGAGGGAGCUGUCGAAGGUGGGACUGGCGAUUGGGACGAAGUCGUAACAAGGUAGCCGUACCGGAAG
rnacentral:rRNA from 1 species